UUGGACUCGAUCCGAUGUCUCAUUUUGGAUUUCUUUGGAUUUUUGCUAUUCCACAUCUAAUUUAGCUAAUAAACCAAUAUUCAAAACGCUACCGUUUCGUCGUCGAAGGUCGGAUCAAAAAAGUAAUGCAGGAAUUCUUUUCGUGUAGGUCUGAAGAUGCCGUGUGUAAAGUUUUGUGUCAAUUGGUCGGGAAAUGUGGGAGGAGUAGCGAAAAAACAUUUUUGCGGUUUUCGCGAUUUAGCGAAAAAUAUUCAUAGACGCA
ensembl:lncRNA